GACGAACGCUGGCGGCGUGCCUAAUACAUGCAAGUAGAACGCACAGUUUAUACCGUAGCUUGCUACACCAUAGACUGUGAGUUGCGAACGGGUGAGUAACGCGUAGGUAACCUGCCUGGUAGCGGGGGUUAACUAUGGGAAAGAUAGCUUAUAACCCCUUAAUAUUAUUUUUUCCUGGUUAAUUAAUGGAAAGUGCUUAUGGAUUCACUACCAGAGGACCUGCGUUGUAUUUGCUAGUAGGUGAGGUAACGGCUCACCUAGGCGACGAUACAUAGCCGACCUGAGAGGGUGAUCGGCCACACUGGGACUGAGACACGGCCCAGACUCCUACGGGAGGCAGCAGUAGGGAAUCUUCGGCAAUGGACGAAAGUCUGACCGAGCAACGCCGCGUGAGUGAAGAAGGUUUUCGGAUCGUAAAGCUCUGUUGUAAGAGAAGAACGGGUGUGAGAGUGGAAAGUUCACACUGUGACGGUAUCUUACCAGAAAGGGACGGCUAACUACGUG
rnacentral:rRNA from 1 species